rnacentral:rRNA from 1 species
CCUACGGGUGGCUGCAGUGAGGAAUAUUGGUCAAUGGACGAGAGUCUGAACCAGCUAAGUAGCGUGAAGGAUGACUGCCCUAUGUGUUGUAAACUUCUUUUAUAUGGGAAUAAAAUGUUCCACGUGUGGGAUUUUGUAUGUACCAUAUGAAUAAGGAUCGUCUAACUCCGUGCCAGCAGCCGCGGUAAUACGGAGGAUCCGAGCGUUAUCCGGAUUUAUUGGGUUUAAAGGGAGCGUAGGUGGAUUGUUAAGUCAGUUGUGAAAGUUUGCGGCGCAACCGUAAAAUUGCAGUUGAAACUGGCAGUCUUGAGUACAGUAGAGGUGGGCGGAAUUCGUGGUGUAGCGGUGAAAUGCUUAGAUAUCACGAAGAACUCCGAUUGCGAAGGCAGUUCACUGGACUGCAACUGACACUGAGGCUCGAAAGUGUGGGUAUCAAACAGGAUUAGAUACCCCUGUAGUC